GAUGAACGCUAGCUACAGGCUUAACACAUGCAAGUCGAGGGGAAACGACAUCGAAAGCUUGCUUUUGAUGGGCGUCGACCGGCGCACGGGUGAGUAACGCGUAUCCAACCUGCCCACCACUUGGGGAUAACCUUGCGAAAGUAAGACUAAUACCCAAUGACGUCUCUAGAAGACAUCUGAAAGGGAUUAAAGAUUUAUCGGUGAUGGAUGGGGAUGCGUCUGAUUAGCUUGUUGGCGGGGUAACGGCCCACCAAGGCAACGAUCAGUAGGGGUUCUGAGAGGAAGGUCCCCCACAUUGGAACUGAGACACGGUCCAAACUCCUACGGGAGGCAGCAGUGAGGAAUAUUGGUCAAUGGGCGAGAGCCUGAACCAGCCAAGUAGCGUGCAGGACGACGGCCCUAUGGGUUGUAAACUGCUUUUAUAAGGGAAUAAAGUGAGUCUCGUGAGACUUUUUGCAUGUACCUUAUGAAUAAGGACCGGCUAAUUCCGUG
rnacentral:rRNA from 1 species